CAAUCUCAGUUCAGAUUGCAGGCUGCAACUCGCCUGCAUGAAGUCGGAAUUGCUAGUAAUCGUAGGUCAGCAUACUACGGUGAAUACGUUCCCGGGGCCUUGUACACACCGCCCGUCAAACCAUGAGAGUUGGCAACACCCGAAGUCGGUAGUCUAACCGCAAGGAGGACGCCGCCGAAGGUGGGGUUGAUGAUUAGGGUUAAGUCGUAACAAGGUACC
rnacentral:rRNA from 1 species